rnacentral:rRNA from 1 species
CCUACGGGUGGCAGCAGUGGGGAAUAUUGGGCAAUGGGCGCAAGCCUGACCCAGCAACGUAGCGUGAAGGAAGAAGGCUUUCGGGGUGUAAACUUCUUUUAAGGGGGAAGAGCAGAAGACGGUACCCCUUGAAUAAGCUACGGCUAACUACGUGCCAGCAGCCGCGGUAAUACGUAGGUGGCAAGUGUUGUCCGGAUUUACUGGGUGUAAAGGGAGUGUAGCCGGAGAGAAAAGUCAGAUGUGAAAUCCACGGGCUCAACCCUUGAACUGCAUUUGACACUGUUUCCCUUGAGUGUCGGAGAGGUAGGCGGAAUUCGUGGUGUAGCGGUGAAAUGCGUAGAUAUAAGGAAGAACACCGGUGGCGAAGGCGGAUUACUGGACGGUAACUGACGGUGAGGCGCGAAAGCGUGGGGAGCAAACAGGAUUAGAUACCCGGGUAGUC